rnacentral:rRNA from 1 species
ACAUACGACCAUAGAUAACAGAGAAUUCGGGGUCCCGUCUGCUCCCCCAUAGACAAGCUAUUAAUCGGCAGAUUAGUAGUUGGGUCGGUGACGACCAGCGAACACCGGCUGUUGUAUGUU